rnacentral:rRNA from 1 species
GACGGAGGGUGCUAGCGUUGUUCGGAAUCACUGGGCGUAAAGGGCGCGUAGGCGGCGAUGGCCGUCGGGUGUGAAAGCCCGGAGCUCAACUCCGGAAUGGCACUCGAGACGCCAUGGCUGGAGGCCGGAAGAGGAGGGUGGAAUACCCAGUGUAGAGGUGAAAUUCGUAGAUAUUGGGUGGAACACCGGUGGCGAAAGCGGCUCUCUGGUCCGGCCCUGACGCUGAGGCGCGAAAGCGUGGGGAGCAAACAGG